GGGUUCGUAGCUCAGUUGGUAGAGCACCGGCCUUUUAAGCCGGGUGUCGGGGGUUCGAGUCCCCUCGGACUCG
rnacentral:tRNA from 1 species